UGGUAUGAGGAUGGUUUGGCAGUGAAAUCUGUCACUUCACUGAUCUAUCAGGGUUGAUUCAGUUAAUUUUUAUGACAAGGUGGAUAUGACCUUCCUCUCACCUUUUCCUCCAUGUUCAUCUCCUAACAGAGUAGGACUGUCCUUGGGUUAAGUGAAUAUGUUUCAUGAUGGCAUCACUAUAAGUAUUAGAAUGUUUCUUCACACUUAGAAUUGUGAUGUGAACACAUCUGCAGAGCUACCUCAUAAGAGGGUGGGGGGAAUCCUCUUCUCUCUUUUC
rfam:Ailuropoda melanoleuca scaffold3873_9, whole genome shotgun sequence.